GGAUAAUACCGGAUAACGCAUAUAUGCUGGAAUGCUUUAUGCGUAAAAUGGAUUCGUCUGCCCAAGGAUGGGUCUGCGGCCUAUCAGGUAGUAGUGGGUGUAAUGUACCUACUAGCCUACAACGGGUACGGGUUGUGAGAGCAAGAGCCCGGAGAUGGAUUCUGAGACAUGAAUCCAGGCCCUACGGGGCGCAGCAGGCGCGAAAACUUUACAAUGCGGGAAACCGUGAUAAGGGGACACCGAGUGCCAGCAUCAUAUGCUGGCUGUCCAGAUGUGUAAAAUACAUCUGUUAGCAAGGGCCGGGCAAGACCGGUGCCAGCCGCCGCGGUAACACCGGCGGCCCGAGUGGUGAUCGUGAUUAUUGGGUCUAAAGGGUCCGUAGCCGGUUUGGUCAGUCCUCCGGGAAAUCUGAUGGCUCAACCAUUAGGCUUUCGGGGGAUACUGCCAGGCUUGGAACCGGGAGAGGUAAGAGGUACUACAGGGGUAGGAGUGAAAUCUUGUAAUCCCUGUGAGACCACCUGUGGCGAAGGCGUCUUACCAGAACGGGUUCGACGGUGAGGGACGAAAGCUGGGGGCACGAACCGGAUUAGAUACCCGGGUAGUCCCAGCCGUAAACGAUGCUCGCUAGGUGUCAGGCAUGGCGCGACCGUGUCUGGUGCCGCAGGGAAGCCGUGAAGCGAGCCACCUGGGAAGUACGGCCGCAAGGCUGAAACUUAAAGGAAUUGGCGGG
rnacentral:rRNA from 1 species